UCAGGAAAACUGAAGAUGAUGUUUCAAACCUUAGUGGCCUGCACUUCCGGCCUCGAAGACAUCCUAAGUGAGCACUCGAUCCUCCAAGAUGCAGUGGAUAUCAAAGACGUUUCUGCUAGAUUUACAACCGACGCGAUUGGUUCAGUUGCUUUCGGAAUCGACUGCAACAGUCUGAAGAACCCAGACUCAGAGUUCAGACAGUGGGGAAAAGGAAUAUUCGAACAAAGCAUUAUCGGAAAACUCAGGGGAAUCCUGUUAAUGACGCUUCCUAAUAACUUCUUGCAUGCUAUAGGUUUCAAAGUGAUCAACAGGACAACCUCGGAUUUUCUGAUGAAUGUGGUUAGGAAAACGGUUGAGUACAGGGAAAAAAAUAAUGUAUAUAGGAAAGACUUCAUGCAUUUAUUGCUGCAGUUGAAAAACAGCAGUAAGGUCAGCGACGAUGCGAAUAUUACAAAGGAAGAGGAUAAGAACAAAGGCUCAGAUACUUUGACUUUCAACGAAGUUGCAGCACAGUGUUUCGUGUUUUUUGUAGCAGGAUUUGAAACAUCCGCCACGACUAUGACUUUUGCUUUGCUUGAACUGUCCCUCAACCAGGAUAUUCAGGACAAAUUGAGACAGGAAAUCAAUACGGUUCUGAAGAAGCACGAUAUGCAGUUUACUUAUGAUUCUGUUAUGGAGAUGAAAUACUUGGAGAAAGUUAUUGAUGAAACUCUCCGUAAACACUCAGCUCUUGCAGUCCUUCAGAGAGUUUGUACAAAACCGUAUACUAUUCCCGGUACCGACAUAGUGCUAGAAAAAGGAACUGCGGUCAAUAUUCCAGUUCUAGGAAUCCAUAGGGAUCCAGAAUACUACCCUGAACCGGAUAAGUUCGAUCCAUAGCGAUUCAAUGAAGAGAACAAAGCUAGAAGACACCCUUUUGCAUAUAUGCCUUUUGGGGAAGGACCUAGAAUAUGCAUAGGAGCCAGAUUUGGACUAUUGCAAACUAAAGUUGGAAUUGCCGCUAUUAUCAAAAAUGUCAAAGUCACUUUGAAUGAUAAAACGAAGACCCCAAUAAGGUACUCCCCGUCUGCUGCAAUUACAGGAGUCGACGAGGAAGUUUGGUUAAACGUAACGAAAAUUCAGACUCUUCGCAAACAUUCAGCCGGCACGAUCCUCACCAGAAUUUGCAAAAAACCGUAUACCAUUCCUGGUACCAAAGUAGUAAUAGAAAAAGGAACCCCCGUAUAUAUUCCCGUUCCAGGGAUCCAUCGGGACCCAGAAUACUAUCCCGAUCCAGAUAAGUUUGACCCAGAAAGAUUCAAUAGCGAAAACAAAGCGGCAAGACACCCCUUUGCUUAUUUGCCUUUCGGGGAAGGACCCAGGAAUUGCAUAGCGGCCAGGUAUGGACUUCUGCAAACCAAAGUUGGAAUCAGUGCUGUUAUCAAAAAUUUCAAAGUUACUCUGAACAAAAAAACCAAAACACCAAUAAGGUAUGUCACAUCGGGUAGAAUACCAGAAAUUGAGGGAGGAGUUUGGCUCGAUGUUACUAAAAUUCAGUAGAGAAUACAUAGAAUGAAAUGAAAUCAAACACUCCACCGGUGAGAAGUUUCAUUAAUCCACUUAGAGGAAACUAUUUUAGGUGAAUUGACAAAUUAUAAAGUUUGUUAGUGUGAAA